rnacentral:rRNA from 1 species
AUUGAACGCUGGCGGCAUGCCUUACACAUGCAAGUCGAACGGCAGCACGGGGGCAACCCUGGUGGCGAGUGGCGAACGGGUGAGUAAUACAUCGGAACGUGCCCGGUAGUGGGGGAUAGCUCGGCGAAAGCCGGAUUAAUACCGCAUACGACCUACGGGUGAAAGCGGGGGACCGCAGGGCCUCGCGCCAUUGGAGCGGCCGAUGUCAGAUUAGGUUGUUGGUGGGGUAAAGCCCACCAAGCCGACGAUCUGUAGCUGGUCUGAGAGGACGACCAGCCACACUGGGACUGAGACACGGCCCAGACUCCUACGGGAGGCAGCAGUGGGGAAUUUUGGACAAUGGGCGCAAGCCUGAUCCAGCCAUGCCGCGUGCGGGAAGAAGGCCU